AGAGUUUGAUCAUGGCUCAGGACGAACGCUGGCGGCGUGCUUAACACAUGCAAGUCGAGCGGAAAGGCCCUUCGGGGUACUCGAGCGGCGAACGGGUGAGUAACACGUGAGUAAUCUGCCCCUAGCUCUGGGAUAGCUCCGGGAAACCGGGAUUAAUACCGGAUACGACCACCUUAGACAUCUUUUGUGGUGGAAAGAAUUUCGGCUAGGGAUGAGCUCGCGGCCUAUCAGCUUGUUGGUGGGGUAACGGCCUACCAAGGCGACGACGGGUAGCCGGCCUGAGAGGGCGACCGGCCACACUGGGACUGAGACACGGCCCAGACUCCUACGGGAGGCAGCAGUGGGGAAUAUUGCGCAAUGGGCGAAAGCCUGACGCAGCGACGCCGCGUGGGGGAUGAAGGCCUUCGGGUUGUAAACCCCUUUCAGCAGGGACGAAGCGAAAGUGACGGUACCUGCAGAAGAAGCGCCGGCUAACUACGUGCCAGCAGCCGCGGUAACACGUAGGGCGCAAGCGUUGUCCGGAAUUAUUGGGCGUAAAGAGCUCGUAGGCGGUCUGUUGCGUCCGCUGUGAAAACUCGGGGCUUAACCCCGAGCCUGCAGUGGAUACGGGCAGACUAGAGGUAGGUAGGGGAGAAUGGAAUUCCCGGUGUAGCGGUGAAAUGCGCAGAUAUCGGGAGGAACACCGGUGGCGAAGGCGGUUCUCUGGGCCUUACCUGACGCUGAGGAGCGAAAGCGUGGGGAGCGAACAGGAUUAGAUACCCCAGUAGUCC
rnacentral:rRNA from 1 species